GUGGCGGGUGGCGAGCAUAAGCCGUGUGGCGUAUGCGUAGCGAAAGCGAGUCUUAAAAGGCGUUUUUAGUCGCUUGUCCUGGACCCGAAGCGGGAUGAUCUAGCCCUGGGCAGGUUGAAGCGCGGGUAAGACCGCGUGGAGGACCGAACCCACCUGGGUUGAAAACCGGGGGGAUGACCUGGGGCUAGGGGUGAAAGGCCAAUCAAAUUCCGUGAUAGCUGGUUCUCUCCGAAAUGCAUUUAGGUGCAGCGUCGGUCGAUUGCGUCGCGGGGGUAGAGCUACCGGAUGCUUGCGGGCCCUUGUUGGGUACCAACAGCAGCCGAACUCCGAAUACCGUUGACGUGUAUUCCGGCAGUGAGUCGGCGGGGGAUAAGCUCCGUCGUCGAGAGGGAGACAGCCCAGACCGUCGUCUAAGGUCCCGAAGCGUGUGCUAAGUGGGAAAGGAUGUGGAGUCGCAUAGACAGCCAGGAGGUUGGCUCAGAAGCAGCCAUCCUUGAAAGAGUGCGUAACAGCUCACUGGUCUAGUGGUUCCGCGCCGACAAUGUAGCGGGGCUCAAGCACACCACCGAAGACGCGGCAGCAAUCUUCAUGGUUGCUGGGUAGGAGAGCGUCCUGCGAGGGGCGAAGCGGCCGGGUGACCGUGCCGUGGACUUCGUGGGAGUGAGAAUGCAGACAUGAGUAGCGAGAGACGGGUGAGGAUCCCGUCCGCUGGAUGACCAAGGGUUCCGGGGCCACGUUCGUCGUCCCCGGGUGAGUCGGGUCCUAAGGCGAGGCCGACAGGCGUAGUCGAAUGGAUGAACGGGUGGAUAUUCCCGUACCGACCAUGGACCGGCAAAACCGAGACGGUGAGUACUAACCUCCGCCUCGUGGUGGUUCCUUCCUUCGGGUUGGUUCCGCCGCGUGGCGUUGGGAGCGUAGCCGUAGUAGGUCAGCGCAGGGGUGACACGGAAUGGGAGCCGGCCGCGGAGGUGGUUUUCCGUGGUCAAGCACGCAGCCAGUCAUGUAGGCAAAUCCGCAUGGCGCGCAUGGCGAGGUGUGAUGAUGGGAGCCUUUUGGGCUCGAUAUCCGGUUGUCCAGGCCGUCGAGAAAAGCCUCGGCGUGAGGGCCAUGGCCGCCCGUACCCCAAACCGACACUGGUGGUCAGGUAGAGAAUACCAAGGCGAUCGAGCGAAUCCUGGUCAAGGAACUCGGCAAAUCACUCCCGUGCCUUCGGUAUAAGGGAGACCCGCUGGGGUGAACCGGCUAGCCCGGGGAGCUUUGGUGGGUGGCACAGACCAGGGGGUAGCGACUGUUUACCAAAAACACAGGUGCAUGCGAAGGCGAAAGCCGCUGUAUAUGCACUGACGCCUGCCCGGUGCCGGAAGGUUAAGAGGAUCCGUCAAUCCCUUCGGGGACGAAGCGGUGAAUUCAAGCCCCGGUAAACGGCGGUGGUAACUAUAACCAUCCUAAGGUAGCGAAAUUCCUUGUCGGGUAAGUUCCGACCUGCACGAAUGGCGUAACGACUUCCCCACUGUCUCGACCAGGAGCUCGGCGAAAUUGCAGUACGAGUAAAGAUGCUCGUUAAGCGCAGAAGGACGAAAAGACCCCGGGACCUUUACUAUACCUUGGUAUUGGCGUUAGGCGCGGAUUGUGUAGCAUAGGCGGGAGGCUUCGAAGCGUGGGCGCCAGCUCAUGUGGAGCCGCAAGGUGAAAUACCGCUCUGUUCUCGUUUGACGUCUAACCUCGACAAGUCAUCCUUGUCAGGGACAGUGCCUGGCGGGUAGUUCAACUGGGGCGGUUGCCUCCCAAAGAGUAACGGAGGCGCUCAAAGGUCCGCUCAGCCCGGUUGGCAAUCGGGUGUCGAGUGUAAUCGCACAAGCGGGCUUGACUGCGAGGACGACGGUCCGAGCAGGGACGAAAGUCGGAGAUAGUGAUCCGGUGCCGGCGCACGGGCGCGGCAUCGCUCAACGGAUAAAAGGUACCCCGGGGAUAACAGGCUGAUCAUUCCCAAGAGUCCAUAUCGACGGGA
rnacentral:rRNA from 1 species